UGAGAAAGAUGUCUUUCUGUCCUUGGUCUACAUUCAUCUUUCCUCCUUCUCACCUCUGUGUUUCUGAUCCUCUCCAUUAUGCUACAACAAUGGUGCUGAAUGCCAACGAGAAGGAGACUUAAUGAAACCCAAGACUCAUUUUUAGGCACUUACCUGAGAUACUGACCAUCCAACCUGCAAUCUUUGGAAAUCAACAUAUCCCUGAAGAAACAAACUGAAUUUCUGCUGCUGAUGGGAGAUUCAUUUCAUGCCCUGGCUGGCAAGCAGUAUCACUGUGGAUGCAGUUGUGUGGGAACAGACAACUCAGGAGGAAAGUGGGCAUCCAUUGUUUAGAGAAGAAGAUGGAAGGAGAUGUCAAGGCAUGU